rnacentral:lncRNA from 1 species
UUUAAUAAAUAUUUUAAAUUACAAAUAAUAAAAUCUUGAAUUGUUACAGAUCAUACUCUAUGUAUUAUCAAAAACCUAGAGCAUAGGUUUGUACAUACAUACUAACCCUUCAGCAAGGAUUACUCCACUUAAGAUUAAUUAAAUCUUGAUAUGCUUAUGACCUAUUUCAGACUUCUUUCAAGAUGUUAUCUUCAACCUAAAACUUGGAUGGAGAGAAAGUUUGUUAACAGUUGAGUUUCCAACCUAAGUGUACUUUGUCUCUUCCCCCUUUUUGAAAGAAUAUGGUCUCUUGAUAGAAUACUGUAAUAGUACAUAAGGUGAUGCGACAUGUUGUACACAUUUAUAUUAAUAAGGAACCAUACCUUUCCACUGUCAAUUUCUUAACAGUUAUUUAUCUUUAUAUAAUGAGGUUAGGCAUUGAUGUGCAUAUUUUUACAUUCAUUUCUGACAGCUUGUUGCUCGAGUUAUCCUUCAAUCAAUUAGUUAUAUUCUUGAAGAUGUAAGCUAGGAAAAUCUUGUCAUCCUUAGUUCUUUGAUAACCUUGAACCUCAAGGUUCACAUCCAGCUGCUGGUUAGCCAAAUAAAUAUCUGAGAAAUUCUUCUUUCAUCUCUGGAUAAGUAUUUCUUAGUAUAUAUGGCCUUUCAUCUUUCAGACUGGUGGAUGCUUGAAUCUUUGCUGUUGAUGCCUCUUGACCUCCCAUCCCUGGUCUUCAGACUAUGAGAUUGACUGUGGACAAGGAUUGGUCUUGUUGCUAUGGCAUUUAAGAACAUGGAUCAAUCUGAGUAACUUCAGGUGUAUAUACACAUUUACCUGUACACAUUAUUUCCAACAUGUGAGUCCAUCUGCAUUUACAAUAGACUUACAACUAAACUAAGUUUAGAACAAUGUUUGUGCCUUGGAUCAGACUCAAAGCGAUUAGCUUUUGAAUAGCAUGAGAACCUGCUUUGAUACCAAUUGUUAGUUCCUAGUAGGCAUGCAAUAAAUCUAGAAGGGGGGGUUGAAUAGAUCCUUUUCAAUUUCAAAUACUUUUCCUGUUUAUUUGUAUUUCUAAUGAAUUAGCAUAUGAUAAAUAUAAGAAUCUCUUCAAGCUCAAUGGAAUAAGUAAAAGAUCUCCUUCAUUGAUAUAUUCAUAAACAUUCAUACAUUGUUCGUGGAGUUAGUUUAGUUUUAGGUAGUUAAUACAUAUAUAUCAUUUAUAGCAGUUAGAUACAUAAUGUAAAUGACUAAAUAUAAAAGCCACAAAGAUUUUAAGUGGUUCAGAGACUCAAGCUCCUAAUCCACUCUUCUACUUCAACAAGCAAGAAUUCAACUAAGGAAGGGCAGCACCCUGAAUCACUAAGUUUCCUCUAAGGCCAGCAGCCUUGGAACUUUAGUUCACUAAGAACUCUUCAAGCCCAAUAGGCUUGGAACUUCAUUUAGUCCCUCUGGAUAAGGACCCCUCAGGCGCUAGCUGUGACGCCCCCAAAAUAGGUAUACAUCACCCAUCUUGGGUCGCCAGAUACAUGGUACAGAAUACAAAUACAAUCUUAAAUAUACAACAAAAGCUGUGAGUUUUAAUACAAAUAUUGUCUUCUAGACAAUAUCCACUCUCAGAAUAAG